GGGUGGUAAUGCCGGAUGCUCCGACUCCUCGCAUGGGGUGUCGGGAAAGAUUUCAUCGGUAUGGGAUGGGGUCGCGUCCUAUCAGGUAGUCGGCGGGGUAACGGCCCACCGAGCCUACGACGGGUAGCCGGCCUGAGAGGGCGACCGGCCACAUUGGGACUGAGAUACGGCCCAGACUCCUACGGGAGGCAGCAGUGGGGAAUAUUGCACAAUGGGCGCAAGCCUGAUGCAGCGACGCCGCGUGCGGGAUGACGGCCUUCGGGUUGUAAACCGCUUUUGAUCGGGAGCAAGCCUUCGGGUGAGUGUACCUUUCGAAUAAGCACCGGCUAACUACGUGCCAGCAGCCGCGGUAAUACGUAGGGUGCAAGCGUUAUCCGGAAUUAUUGGGCGUAAAGGGCUCGUAGGCGGUUCGUCGCGUCCGGUGUGAAAGUCCAUCGCUUAACGGUGGAUCUGCGCCGGGUACGGGCGGGCUGGAGUGCGGUAGGGGAGACUGGAAUUCCCGGUGUAACGGUGGAAUGUGUAGAUAUCGGAAAAGAAC
rnacentral:rRNA from 1 species